UACGGAGGAGGCAAGCGUUAUCCGGAAUUAUUGGGCGUAAAGCGUCCGCAGGUGGCACUUCAAGUCUGUCGUCAAAGACUGGGGCUUAACCCUGGAAAGGCGGUGGAAACUGAAGCGCUAGAGUGCGGUAGGGGUAGAGGGAAUUCCCGGUGUAGCAGUGAAAUGCGUAGAGAUCGGGAAGAACAUCGGUGGCGAAAGCGCUCUACUGGACCGCAACUGACACUCAGGGACGAAAGCUAGGGGAGCGAAUGGG
rnacentral:rRNA from 1 species